GGUGUCACGCCCACAUAGAUUUUGACUCGGGCCAAGGCAAUGAGAUCAAUCACAGUGAGUUAGUUUCCUAUUUUAUACACCAAUCAGCCAUGACAUUAUGACCACCUGCCUAAUCCUGUGUUGGUCCCCUUUUUGCUCCCAAAACAGCCCUGACCUUUUAAGGCACUGACUCCACUAGACCCCUGAAGCCCAAAGGAUUGAGAUCUGGGGAACUUGGAGACCAAGUCAACACCUCAAGCGCACUGUGCGUCUCAAAUCAUUCCUGGACCAUUUUUGCUUUGUGGCAGGGCACAUUAUCCUGCUGAAAUAGGCAUCAGGGAACACAGUUUCCAUGAAAACAAUGGAAACUGCAACAAUGCUUAGGUAGGUGGUACAUGUCAAAGUAAUUUCCCCAUAGAUGGCAGGACCCAAGGUUUCCCUUCAGAACAGUACCUGCAGCAUCACACUGCCUCCUCCAGCUUUCCUCUUUCCCAUCCUGUUUUCAGGUGCUCCCCAGGUCACACCCACUAACAGGUGCCAUAAUGAAGCGAUAAGAGAUUGGUGUUACUGACUUCA